AUUGAACGCUGGCGGCAGGCCUAACACAUGCAAGUCGAGCGAGCGGCGGACGGGUGAGUAAUGUCUGGGAAACUGCCUGAUGGAGGGGGAUAACUACUGGAAACGGUAGCUAAUACCGCAUACCAUCAGAUGUGCCCAGAUGGGAUUAGGUAGUUGGUGGGGUAAUGGCCUACCAAGCCGACGAUCUCUAGCUGGUCUGAGAGGAUGACCAGCCACACCGGGACUGAGACACGGCCCGGACUCCUACGGGAGGCAGCAGUGGGGAAUAUUGCGCAAUGGGGGCAACCCUGACGCAGCCAUGCCGCGUGAAUGAAGAAGGCCUUCGGGUUGUAAAGUUCUUUCGGUGACGAGGCGUUAAUCACAGAAGAAGCACCGGCUAACUCCGUGCCAGCAGCCGCGGUAAUUC
rnacentral:rRNA from 1 species